rnacentral:rRNA from 1 species
UACGUAGGGUGCGAGCGUUUGUCCGGAAUUAUUGGGCGUAAAGAGCUCGUAGGCGGUGUGUCACGUCGGCCGUGAAAACCUGCAGCUUAACUGUGGGCGUGCGGUCGAUACGGGCAUCACUGGAGUUCGGCAGGGGAGACUGGAAUUCCUGGUGUAGCGGUGAAAUGCGCAGAUAUCAGGAGGAACACCGGUGGCGAAGGCGGGUCUCUGGGCCGAUACUGACGCUGGAGGAGCGAAAGCCGUGGGGAGCAAACAGG